CUCGCUGCCAACCCACAGGAGCCCUUGAGCCAACCCUCCUCCCCCCUCCCUCCACAAAGCGACUUGUCCUCUUCCUAAUCCCAGCCGCCGCUGCCGACUUGCUGGAGCGAAGCUCUGGCAAAUCCCCGCAAUCAGCACGAACGCCCGGCACGGGCAACGCGAAUCUACCCCCGCCUCCUGCCACUACUGCUCAGUGCAACCGCGCACCGGGGCCCCGGCCGGCCCAAGCUGCCCUCCUCCUGCUCCCAAUCAGCUGGCCCUGCUGCCUGCCCGGCCCCGGAUCUACCUGCAGGAGCAAUGCCCCGCUUCCCCUCCCUCUGCAGCCACCCACCCUGGCAACACCCUCAUGCAACGCCCCCCUCCCAAAAUGCAACCGCAGCCCACACACCCUGGGGCAGAGACAAGCCACCUCCCCAAAUCCUGUGUCAAGAGCCCAGCAGCAGCCCCGAGGCCUGGGCUGGCUCCCCCUGCACCGUGUGUCACCUGCCAGGCUAAUCCCAGCCCCGGGGCAUGGAGCAGAGCAAACCGCAAAGGCAGAGGCGAAUGUACCUGUUGGCCAACUGGGAGAGCUGCUACCUCAUUCCCCUGGACCCCAAAAUUAGGAUUUAACCUAUACACUUUAAUAGACAUAGUUUGGGGUAAUUAUCUGUGUGUCAGCAAUAUGUUAAUUUGAGCCUUGGGCGGAGCCAUUAUGUAAUCUUUUAGACCAUUGGCUUAUUGUGCUUAUCUUGUCUGGCUGCUAGAACCUAUCCAGAGGCUUGGGAAAACCCAUCACCAUUGCUUCUCUCCGCCCAAUGAGCGCCCUACAUAAUCUAUUGUAAUUAAUUGUUCUGCAGUGUCUCUGAGCCUGAUAAGCAAGGUGACACUCUGCCAGCGCUGUGCGUAAUAAACUCCUGUGCUUGACUCUA